rnacentral:rRNA from 1 species
UACGAAGGGUGCAAACGUUGCUCGGAAUCAUUGGGCGUAAAGCGCACGUAGGCGGCUUCGCAAGUCCGAUGUGAAAUCCCGUGGCUCAACCAUGGACGUGCAUCCGCAACUGCGAGGCUUGAGUAUGGAAGAGGGUCGCGGAAUUCCCGGUGUAGAGGUGAAAUUCGUAGAUAUCGGGAGGAACACCAGUGGCGAAGGCGGCGACCUGGGCCAAUACUGACGCUGAGGUGCGAAAGCGUGGGGAGCAAACAGG